rnacentral:tRNA from 1 species
GAGGGUAUAGCUCCAUGGUAGAGCGCAUGCUUAGCAUGCAUGAGGUCCUGGGUUCCAUCCCAGUAUCUCCA